CCUACGGGACGCAGCAGUGGGGAAUAUUGCACAAUGGGGGAAACCCUGAUGCAGCGACGCCGCGUGAAGGACGAAGUAUUCCGGUACGUAAACUUCUAUCAGCAGGGAAGAAAAUGACGGUACCUGACCAAGAAGCCCCGGCUAACUACGUGCCAGCAGCCGCGGUAAUACGUAGGGGGCAAGCGUUAUCCGGAUUUACUGGGUGUAAAGGGAGCGUAGACGGCCAUGCAGGUCUGAUGUGAAAGCCCGGGGCCCAACCCCGGGACUGCAUUG
rnacentral:rRNA from 1 species